UUGGUGAACCUGCGGAAGGAUCAUUACCGAGUGAGGGCCCUCUGGGUCCAACCUCCCACCCGUGUUUAUUUUACCUUGUUGCUUCGGCGGGCCCGCCUUAACUGGCCGCCGGGGGGCUUACGCCCCCGGGCCCGCGCCCGCCGAAGACACCCUCGAACUCUGUCUGAAGAUUGUAGUCUGAGUGAAAAUAUAAAUUAUUUAAAACUUUCAACAACGGAUCUCUUGGUUCCGGCAUCGAUGAAGAACGCAGCGAAAUGCGAUACGUAAUGUGAAUUGCAAAUUCAGUGAAUCAUCGAGUCUUUGAACGCACAUUGCGCCCCCUGGUAUUCCGGGGGGCAUGCCUGUCCGAGCGUCAUUUCUGCCCUCAAGCACGGCUUGUGUGUUGGGCCCCGUCCUCCGAUCCCGGGGGACGGGCCCGAAAGGCAGCGGCGGCACCGCGUCCGGUCCUCGAGCGUAUGGGGCUUUGUCACCCGCUCUGUAGGCCCGGCCGGCGCUUGCCGAUCAACCCAAAUUUUUAUCCAGGUUGACCUCGGAUCAGGUAGGGAUACCCGCUGAACUUAAGCAUAUCAAUAAGC
rnacentral:rRNA from 1 species